AAUGAACGCUGGCGGCAUGCCUAACACAUGCAAGUCGAACGAGACCUUCGGGUCUAGUGGCGCACGGGUGCGUAACGCGUGGGAACCUGCCCUUAGGUUCGGAAUAACUCCCCGAAAGGGGUGCUAAUACCGGAUAAUGUCUUCGGACCAAAGAUUUAUCGCCUUUGGAUGGGCCCGCGUUGGAUUAGCUAGUUGGUAGGGUAAAAGCCUACCAAGGCGACGAUCCAUAGCUGGCCUGAGAGGAUGAUCAGCCACACUGGGACUGAGACACGGCCCAGACUCCUACGGGAGGCAGCAGUGGGGAAUAUUGGACAAUGGGCGAAAGCCUGAUCCAGCAAUGCCGCGUGAGUGAUGAAGGCCUUAGGGUUGUAAAGCUCUUUUACCCGGGAUGAUAAUGACAGUACCGGGAGAAUAAGCUCCGGCUAACUCCGUG
rnacentral:rRNA from 1 species